rnacentral:rRNA from 1 species
GACGAACGCUGGCGGCGUGCUUAACACAUGCAAGUCGAACGGUAAGGCCCUUCGGGGUACACGAGUGGCGAACGGGUGAGUAACACGUGGGUGAUCUGCCCUGGAAUUCGGGAUAAGGCUGGGAAACUGGGUGUAAUACCGGAUAGGACUACGGACUGAAUGGGCUGGGGUGGAAAGCGUUUGCGGUGUGGGAUGGGCCCGCGGCCGGUCAGCUUGUGGGUGGAGUAAUGGCCUACCAAGGCGACGACGGGUAGCCGGCCUGAGAGGGUGACCGGCCACACUGGGACUGAGAUACGGCCCAGACUCCUACGGGAGGCAGCAGUGGGGAAUAUGACACAAUGGGCGCAAGCCUGAUGCAGCGACGCCGCGUGAGGGAUGACGACCUUCGGGUUGUAAACCUCUUUCAGCAUCGACGAAGCGAAAGUGACGGUAGGUGCGGAAGAAGGACCGGCCAACUACGUGCCAGCCGCCGCAGUAA